rnacentral:rRNA from 1 species
UACGUAGGGCGCAAGCGUUGUCCGGAAUUAUUGGGCGUAAAGAGCUCGUAGGCGGUUUGUCGCGUCUGCUGUGAAAGCCCGGGGCUCAACCCCGGGUCUGCAGUGGGUACGGGCAGACUAGAGUGCAGUAGGGGAGACUGGAAUUCCUGGUGUAGCGGUGAAAUGCGCAGAUAUCAGGAGGAACACCGAUGGCGAAGGCAGGUCUCUGGGCUGUUACUGACGCUGAGGAGCGAAAGCAUGGGGAGCGAACAGGAUUAGAUACCCUGGUAGUCCAUGCCGUAAACGUUGGGCACUAGGUGUGGGGGACAUUCCACGUUUUCCGCGCCGUAGCUAACGCAUUGAGUGCCCCGCCUGGGGAGUACGGCCGCAAGGCUAAA